GGAAGCAAGGAGGUUUUUUUUUUCCAUGCUUCUACACUCCCCCCCACCCUCCACGUUUCCAGGGAGGGAGAGGCUUCCCCCGAGGCCAAGAUCUGCCCUUCUGCAGCAUCUGAAGGAUGGGUUGGCUCGUCCCAUCCGCAAGGAGGCCGGGGGUCUCGCUUAGGGCGCCCCACUGAAAUGACCGAGGAGGAGGAGGAGGACAAGCCCCCCACCCUCAAUUCCUUUUUUCUGCAGUCCCUAAAUCAUUCAGGUGGAUGAAAAUGCACCCGAUUGAAGCUCCGGGUCCAUUCCGACUUCUUUCUCCGUGCUUGAAGGCCAUCGCUAAGAAGUUCGACCCCCAAGAAACCUGACGCUCGCCUAUUGCGCUCCAGGAGCCGAUCUCGAAGGCCUUUGCAAAGUUGAGUCUUCGGAAGGCCACACAUAAGCAGGAAGAGCAAGGAACUGACGACUCGAGUUUAAGAAAGGGGCCAGGAGCCACCGAAAGGGAAAGAGGCUUGAAAAGACGCGUCGUCGGAAAAGAGCAGAGGUGCUACUACCGUCUUAAAGAAGGGGGAUGGAUUGGAACUAAAGAUGCUAAACUCCUAAUAAGAAAACGAGCGGUGCCCCCAAGCUGUUAAGAGCGAUUGUCAUUCUUGGUUGCGAGCGUGAGAUUGUAGCCCUGAACAAUUCUUAUCCAGCAAUUUCCUUCCUUUUUUUUUUUUUUCCUUGGGAAGCAACUGGUUUUACGCACGCCCUUUACUCCAAAAGAAAUCGUAAUUAUCUUCUAAGAAGGCCAAAAUAAAUAUUGGAUUGCUUUUUUUUUUUUUUUCCCUUCUCUAGCAGCUAUCUGACAUUAUGGUUCUGGGGGUUUGUUACCCAAAAAAAAAAAAAAAAAAGAGUAAUAAUAAAACCCGCUGGGCUCUUCACGAAAAGAACUCAGGAAAAAUGAAAAAGAAGGGAGAGGAGGUUUGCCCUAAUUAUUCUGGAAGGACAGGGGAGACCAAGAAACACCUCAGAAACUUCACCAAAAAUUUUAUUAGAAGGGAAAACCCUUCCAAAACUAUAAAUAUUUUUCAAGGUCG